rnacentral:rRNA from 1 species
CCUACGGGAGGCAGCAGUGGGGAAUAUUGCACAAUGGGGGAAACCCUGAUGCAGCGACGCCGCGUGAAGGAUGAAGUAUUUCGGUAUGUAAACUUCUAUCAGCAGGGACGAAAAUGACGGUACUUGACUAAGAAGCCCCGUCUAACUACGUGCCAGCAGCCGCGGUAAUACGUAGGGGGCAAGCGUUAUCCGGAUUUACUGGGUGUAAAGGGAGCGUAGACGGUAUGGCAAGUCUGAUGUGAAAACCCGGGGCUCAACCCCGGGACUGCAUUGGAAACUGCCGAACUGGAGUGUCGGAGAGGCAAGUGGAAUUCCUAGUGUAGCGGUGACAUGCGUAGAUAUUAGGAGGAACACCGGUGGCGAAGGCGGCUUGCUGGACGAUGACUGACGUUGAGGCUCGAAAGCGUGGGGAGCAAACAGGAUUAGAUACCCUAGUAGUC